UCCCUGGGCAUUCAUCAGCCGCGUGAGGGAGGAGGUCUUUGGAUUGUAAACCUCUUUUCUCAAGGAAGAAGUUCUGACGGUACUUGAGGAAUCAGCCUCGGCUAACUCCGUGCCAGCAGCCGCGGUAAUACGGGGGAGGCAAGCGUUAUCCGGAAUUAUUGGGCGUAAAGCGUCCGCAGGUGGUCAGCCAAGUCUGCCGUCAAAUCAGGUUGCUUAACGACCUAAAGGCGGUGGAAACUGGCAGACUAGAGAGCAGUAGGGGUAGCAGGAAUUCCCAGUGUAGCGGUGAAAUGCGUAGAGAUUGGGAAGAACAUCGGUGGCGAAAGCGUGCUACUGGGCUGUAUCUGACACUCAGGGACGAAAGCUAGGGGAGCGAAAGGGAUUAGAUACCCCCUGUAGUCA
rnacentral:rRNA from 1 species